rnacentral:SRP_RNA from 1 species
GUUUCAUUCAUUUUCAAAGAGGGAGCAUUAAGAUGGUGGAACAAUUGGGCUUGCCCUGAAGGUUGGGCUCGGGAGUGCUAUCUUCUGACCUGCCCGUUUCAAGUGGUGAGUUGUGCCAUGGAUUCUCUGCGAAGGCAGAGGCUUCUCGGUCCUUAGAUUGGAGGGCACCGCGUGAGGCUGGCUUCACAAAGCCGCGAUAACCUCCUCCUCUUUGCAGUGGAAGGAUAACAUGCUGGUGCAUUCGUGGUCCAUUUAGCGCCUAUUGGGCUACCCAAAUUGAACCACCAUCUUU